GACGAACGCUGGCGGCGUGCCUAAUACAUGCAAGUAGAACGCACAGUUUAUACCGUAGCUUGCUACACCAUAGACUGUGAGUUGCGAACGGGUGAGUAACGCGUAGGUAACCUGCCUGGUAGCGGGGGAUAACUAUUGGAAACGAUAGCUAAUACCGCAUAAUAUUGAUUAUUGCAUGAUAAUUGAUUGAAAGAUGCUAUUGCAUCACUACCAGAUGGACCUGCGUUGUAUUAGCUAGUAGGUGAGGUAACGGCUCACCUAGGCGACGAUACAUAGCCGAACUGAGAGGGUGAUCGGCCACACUGGGACGGAGACACGGCCCAGACUCCUUCGGGAGGCAGCAGUAGGGAAUCGUCGGCAAUGGACGAAAGUCUGAGCGAGAAACGCCGCGUGAGUGAAGAAGGUUGUCGGAUCGUAAAGCUCGGUUGUAAGAGAAGAACGGGUGUGAGAGUGGAAAGUUCACACUGUGACGGUAUCUUACCAGAAAGGGACGGCUAACUACGUG
rnacentral:rRNA from 1 species